CCUACGGUGCGCUGCAGUGGGGAAUAUUGCACAAUGGGCGCAAGCCUGAUGCAGCCAUGCCGCGUGUGUGAAGAAGGCCUUCGGGUUGUAAAGCACUUUCAGCGGGGAGGAAGGCGUUAAGGUUAAUAACCUUGGCGAUUGACGUUACCCGCAGAAGAAGCACCGGCUAACUCCGUGCCAGCAGCCGCGGUAAUACGGAGGGUGCAAGCGUUAAUCGGAAUUACUGGGCGUAAAGCGCACGCAGGCGGUCUGUCAAGGCGGAUGUGAAAUCCCCGGGCUCAACCUGGGAACUGCAUUCGAAACUGGCAGGCUAGAGUCUUGUAGAGGGGGGUAGAAUUCCAGGUGUAGCGGUGAAAUGCGUAGAGAUCUGGAGGAAUACCGGUGGCGAAGGCGGCCCCCUGGACAAAGACUGACGCUCAGGUGCGAAAGCGUGGGGAGCAAACAGGAUUAGAUACCCCAGUAGUC
rnacentral:rRNA from 1 species